CUUCUUUGUAGUUUUUGUCUUUUAGCUCUUCAAAAAAAGAAGAAGAAGAAGAUGAUUUAUACCCGGUAGAGCAAAUCCUUUUCUAGCAGGUUUGGUACCAUCUUUGAUCCUCGCUGGAGUGUUGUACCGGUACCGUUCUCGACGUCGGUUCGCUCAAAGCACAACGUAUCUCGUGUCUUAUGCCAGGCCGCGGAUUGUACGUUAGCUUGUGACAACCUCUUUCCUUUAGAUCCUUGAUUGUGGCUUCUAGAGACAAGGAGAUGCUGCUCUGUCCUCCUGCAUUAGGAUGGCGCCAAGAGUCGAUCGGUUCCAUCCAAUCUGGGCAUAUUUGAAGCAGAUAUCAUUAAUUGGAGAGUGGGCUUUUGGCCAUGAGGUUGUGGGAGGAGAUCGAGUGAUAGUCUUCAGCCCAGCCUUCUGGGAUGUUCGUAUAUCGAUGGGAGUGGCGCUUUAAUUACUUAAAUUCAAACUCAUAAAGUACAAAUUGUAGUAAGGGUAGUGUUAGAGGGCCUUAAUAAGGCCUAAGAUUUAUGGCCUUAAUCCUAUGUGGCAUGUCAUGUCACUAGACACAUAAUCAAUUUAAUAAAUCAUGUCAUUUUAUUCUUAGGUAAAAAUACAAUCUUAACCUUAAUAAUUAAUAAAUGCUAUAUACUAAUAUGACAUAUUUUCUUACCCUUAUACCAAAUUUAAUUAAUUUAUUAAUAAUAAUGACCAAGUUAAUAAUCAUACCAAAUUAGGUUUUUAU
rnacentral:lncRNA from 1 species